rnacentral:lncRNA from 1 species
AUACAUUCUGGUUUCGGCUCAAAUGGUAAGACACCGUUGUUGGUUCGAGUCAUACAACGUUUCCUACAAGCACAAGAAAUUGAAGAAAAUUAAUUAACUUGGAAAUAACAAUAAACAGAAAAUAAGGUUGUAUCUACAAAUCCUACUUUGACUUCUUAUCUUUACAUAAAAGUGUAAACUAAAAAUUACUCAAUCUUACAUCGUCUUCCCCGGCAACGGUGCCAACAACUUGACUCGACUUGCAUGUGCUGUUAAAAAUAAUGAAUUUAUUAAAUCAUUUAAAGAGCGAGUUUUAAC